AUGGGCAAGCUUCCGGGGUGGAAGGGAAAGAACCUUGCGAGGCCGGGAAGGGUCUCCUUGGCAAAGUCUGUGCUAUGCGCCAUGGCCACACAUCACCUCACUGCGCUCCCUCUUCCGGCAUGGGCCAACCAUAAGCUUAGCAAGAUCUCUCGCAACUUCAUAUGGCAAGGAGACAAUUCCGAGAAUGAGAUCGGAGGGCACUCCCUGGUAAACUGGAAGACGGUGUGCAGGCCAAAGGCCCUAGGUGGGCUGGGAAUCACAGACCUAGAGAGAUUUGGUCGAGAUCUCCACUUAUGUUGGCCAUGGCUAAUAUGGACCGACCCUGACCGUCAGUGG
rnacentral:rRNA from 1 species